rnacentral:rRNA from 1 species
AACGAACGCUGGCGGCAUGCCUAACACAUGCAAGUCGAACGAAGCCUUCGGGCUUAGUGGCGCACGGGUGCGUAACACGUGGGAAUCUGCCCUUCGGUUCGGAAUAACAGUUAGAAAUGACUGCUAAUACCGGAUGAUGACGAAAGUCCAAAGAUUUAUCGCCGAAGGAUGAGCCCGCGUAGGAUUAGGUAGUUGGUAGGGUAAUGGCCCACCAAGGCUACGAUCUGUAACCGGUCUUAGAGGACGGUCGGUCACACUGACACUGAAUAACGGGUCAGACUCCUACGGGAGGGCAGCAGUCGGGGAAUUUUGGGUCGAAUGGGGGAAACCCGUACGACCCACGCAACGCCG